CUCCCCGUAGCUCAGCCCGGAUAGAGCGGAGGUUUUCUAAACCUUAGGCCGCAGGUUCGAAUCCUGCCGGGGAGA
rnacentral:tRNA from 1 species